rnacentral:rRNA from 1 species
UACAGAGGGUGCGAGCGUUGUCCGGAAUCACUGGGCGUAAAGGGCGCGUAGGUGGCCCGACAAGUCUGUGGUGAAAGCUCGACGCUCAACGUCGAGUCGGCCAUAGAUACUGUUGGGCUGGAGCACUGUAGAGGCUCAUGGAAUUCCGGGUGUAGCGGUGGAAUGCGUAGAGAUCCGGAAGAACACCGGUGGCGAAGGCGGUGAGCUGGGCAGUAGCUGACACUGAGGCGCGACAGCGUGGGGAGCAAACAGG